GCACCUGUAGAGUAGUAGUUAACUCAUUUCCCUCCCAUUACCUCUCGGGCUAGGAAGGAAAGGACCCGGGUGCAAAUCCCGGCAGGUGCA